rnacentral:rRNA from 1 species
AUUGAACGCUGGCGGCAGGCCUAACACAUGCAAGUCGAGCGAGCGGCGGACGGGUGAGUAAUGUAUGGGGACUGCACGAUAGAGGGGGAUAACUACUGGAAACGGUGGCUACUACAGCAUACUCUCGGAUAACCCAUAUGGGGUUAGCUAGUAGGUGGGGUAAAGGCUCACCUAGGAGACGAGCUCUAGCAGGUCUGAGAGGAUGCUCACCCACACUGUGACGUAGACACGGCCCAGACUCCGACGGAGGCAGCAGUGUGGAAUAUUGCACAAUGUGCGCAAGCCUGAUGCAGCCAUGCCGCGAGUAUGAAGAAGGCCUGCGGGUUGUAAAGUACUUUCAGCGAGGAGGCGUUACUCGCAGAAGAAGCACCGGCUGACUCCGUGCCAGCAGCCGCGGUAAUAC